UCUGGUGACUUGUCGCCGAGGAUACACCUGUUCUCUUUCCGAACACAGAAGUUAAGCUCGGUUGAGGCGAUGGUACUCCGCAAGGGGAAGAGUAGCUAGUUGCCAGAA
rnacentral:rRNA from 1 species